GACCCUAGGCAAUAGCUACUGAUACGACGGCCGACGAGGUUGAUGUCAAAAGUGCGCCUGCGGAGAAUUUUGAGAGCCCUGUGCCAUCACCUACUGAUGCCAUUUCUACUGUACAAGUUGAUGGUGGUCAACAUGAUGAUGAACAAGGAAAAUAUUUUGCUAACACCAAGGAUGUAAAAUAUUUUGCUAAGAAACAUGGUCUGAGCGUUCAGGUGACAGAUCGGAUGAACAAGGGAAGUUCUAAAGAGGAGAUGGAAGGAAUGGCGGGUUUAGAGGGUCAGCAGAUGGAAGACGCCACCAAGAACCAAGGCCUACGAAACAAACAACGUCUGCGGACGAGGUUGUCAUCGCUGGUGGCAAUUGGUGUCUUUCGCCAAAGAAGUCGACAGGGGAUGUUGGUGCCUUGAGUAGGUUAAUCUUGCUCAGGACAGGGCUGGAGUAUGCUUUGAGUAUCAGGUGCUGGGUGUGCCAGACAAGUACGGAUAUGAGGAGUCGUCUCCUGAAGUUGAUGAAGUGGUUCUGAUAAGUUUGUCCUGAAUGCACAUGAAUUCCUAUUUGGUGGAUUUCUGCUGUCCUGUGACAGAGUCCACCAUGUAUGUUAUCGGACAUAUAUCUCGUCCAAAUGCAUAAAUAGAAAGCCCAUAAGGAACAAAAGAACCUGAACCUAAGUUCAUUUGGGACCUGAACCUGAACCUAGGUUCAUUUGGUGGCUUUCUGAUAAGUUCAUUUGGAACGAGUAACUACCACAGAUCACAUGUAUGUCCCGUUUGAUUGUACAUGAAAACUGUCAUAAGUUACAUGCUUAUCAUCCU